rnacentral:rRNA from 1 species
AUGUGGAAAGAUGUGGUGGAUGUGCUAGGAAUUGUUGUGGUUGAUGCUCGGGAACACACAUGUCAAGCCAAGAACUUUUGUGAAACACAUGAUAUUGAUGUGCCAAACAUGGAUGAUCUUGUUGGAACUAUGGGUCAAUCUGUUCGCACUAAGAAUAAAGUGACUCGACCUCACUAUUACAAGGUUAGCAUAUUCAAUGUUGCCAUUGAUGCAACUAUCACUGUGAUGAAUCACCGUUUCAAUCUAUUUUCCACCGAGUUAUUGGAUUGUAUGCCUUGUCUUAAUCCAGCAAACGACCUCUCAAAGUUUAACGUUGACGAACUUAUUCAGCUUGCUGAAAUUUAUGACGAAGACUUUACAGAAAUUGACCCGUUGUUGCUAAGAGUAGGCCUCCCAAGAUUCCUUAUGAACAUUAGGAGAAGUGAGGAAUUUAAUGGAUGUCGGGAUGUCUCCACACUUGCUCGGAUGAUGGUUGAAACAACGAAACACACAACUUUCCAGUUGGUGUAUCGCCUCAUUGAGUUGACACUCAUUCUUCCUGUGGCCACUUCAUCAGUUGAGCAAAUAUUUUCGGCAAUGAAGAUCAUUAAGACAUAUUUGCCCAACAAACUGUCAGAUGUUUGGCUAAAUGAUUUGAUGGUGUGCUAUUGUGAGAGAGAUAUUUAG